CCCCUUCACCUCAUUCUUCUCAAUGGAGACGAGACGGAGGGGAACGCGCAUGCGCAAGGCAACAUGGCGGCACCCGAUGGGGUCUCAUGGCCGACAGAGCCCCGUAACGCCUCCAGCCGCAGCCCCUACAACGAGCCCAGCCCUCAGCCCUGAGCCCGGCCCCGCAGGCGGAGAAGGGACGAGCCCGGGAGCCCCGCCCGGCACACACCGCGCUCCGGCGGCCGCUGCUGCCCCCGCCCGGCGGCACCGAACCGCAGUCAAAAUAAGAGUCCCCGGGUGGUGGGGGCGAUGGGCCGGGUGUUGGGGGCGGUCCGGACACUCAUCGCCCCUCGGGGCCCCCCGAGCGCGCAGCCGCGGGCUGACAAAGGGAUGGAGAUCCUCCUCCAGGGGGAUAAAAGCCCAAAGCGCUGCGAACGUGAUGCUUUGUUACAGCUUGAAACCGGGUCGCGCAUCGCACGGCAGGACGUUGUGUAAAAACGCCACGUGUGGCAGUAGAGGAAGGUUAUAUCAGCCCUGGAAUGGAGCUGAGGGUUGGUCCCACCCGGGUCAAUGAGGGAGGAAGGAUGGGAUGAGUUACUGUUGCAGGGGGCUGGAAACGUGUUAAAAGAUGGGCUGUCAGAUGGGCUGCCAGCAGCACAGCGAGCCCGGCCUGGCUGUUGGUCCAAAUAAUUCCUCCAGGCUUCGAUGGAGAUACUGGAAGUUCAAUUUUAAGCUCCAACAGGAGCCAACAUCCAGCAAUGGGAACUGGGGCUGAGGAGGAGCUGCAGCCCUUCUCACAACACACAGCUCAGCCCAGCAAACCAAGAACUGCAAAGGAAAGCAGCAGAGCAAAAUGGGGUUUGGUGGAACACAACUGGCACUGGGAGCUGCAGGGAUGGGCUAAAAGAUGUGCCGAGUGAGAAGGAAGCAGCACGAGAAUGGACAGAGGGCUAUUUUUGGUGCUUCCCAUUGAAUGAUGUUUGGAAACAAUUAUCUCACGGGCCUCUUCCCAUCCUGAUUGCAAACAGAGGAGGAGAAAAAAACAAAACAAUUGUUUAAGGAUUGAAGCUGGGAAUUGAAUCAGAUCCUGCGGAAUCAAAUCAGAGCACAGCAUUUCUCUUGGAAUAAUUUAUUAAAUACAGCAUUAAAAUUUGAAUUUAUGAAUUCCA